UCGUGGCGGCCCUCACAUGCCCCGCCUCGAGGUCGUCGUACCCAGCCGGCGUCUGCCUCGCCCCGAGGUCAGAGCCUGCUCCACCCACCGCCCGGUGGUUCAAGUCAGCGGUCGGACCUGCGACCAACGGCCGAGGUCUAGCACAGAGGGCGUUGCCGUGGGGAAUUCGGGAUUUGCCGUAUUUGGAAGCGGGAGGGAUGGCCGCGACGUGCGGGGCCCUUCGCCUUCGUACCAGCAGGUUCCACCGGGUCGGCCGUCGGCCGCAGAUGCAAUGGGCCGCGCGUCGGGAGGCCGCACCGAGAGGAGCAGCGCCAAGGCCAUCACCUCGCGACCGGCCACCAUUGUCUGAUGCAUCGGUGCGACCAUGGACCAAACGACACCACCACACGGAGCUUCCCCUCUGUCUCGCCUUGCCCCAGCGUCGUGCCCUGCCCUCGAGUCCCAGUGAGGCUCGCCAUGCAAGGAUGAUGGCGACAAGAAGAGGCAUCGCCUCAAUUUUAGUCUUCUCCAAUAAAGAUGUGCCCGUCGCUGGCUUGGCCAUCCACCGAUGUCACAGGUUUGCUGGGAGGUGCCCAUCCAAGAUUUAGUUUGUGUAGUGUUAAUUUUUCCUUUUCUAUGCAGACUGCGAGAUGAAUCUGGAUGAUUUCUUUUAAAUUUGACUCAAAGACCCGAAAAGAGCCUAGCUGGAUAGGAUGGACGCUAUUUGUGUCGUGCGUAUGCAGCUCAUCUGCAGAGCUGCAGCCGAGAAAUGCCAGGGUCUCGCUGGCCACCGUCGUUGCCCGCAAUUCCCGCAGCCAGGUUGGCCGUGAUGGAUACUGGCGAAUCGACCACCGCCGCCUGAUGGUGCGCUCAAUGUUGUUCUACUCCCACUGUAGGCGAGGCGGCGCCUGUGGCAUCAGGACCAUCCGGAUCUGGAUCAAUUCGUCGAGAUACAGGCCACUUCCACUGAUCUAUUAAGAGCAUAUGAUUGCUUCAGAAAGGCAAGUUCUAUGGUUGAUGAGGAGAUUCAGUAUCUUCGUCUGCCCAUGGGUUGCAACACGAGUUUGAAAUUGUGAGGAAGAGAAUGGAUGCUGAAGCAAAGAAAGCAUAUAAGUUACUUGACCAACUUCCAUAUCUCCACAAGACAUGUCUAUACUCAGUUAUG